rnacentral:rRNA from 1 species
UACGAACCGUGCGAACGUUGUUCGGAAUCACUGGGCUUAAAGGGCGCGUAGGCAGCCGGGUUGGUCGUGGGUGAAAUCCCCCAGCUUAACUGGGGAACUGCCUACGAUACUGCCUGGCUCGAGGGAGGAAGGGGCGGUCGGAACUGUCGGUGGAGCGGUGAAAUGCGUUGAUAUCGACAGGAACGCCGGUGGCGAAAGCGGACCGCUGGCCCUCUUCUGACGCUGAGGCGCGAAAGCCAGGGGAGCGAACGGG